AGCGAACGCUGGCGGCAGGCCUAACACAUGCAAGUCGAACGAACCCUUCGGGGUUAGUGGCGGACGGGUGAGUAACACGUGGGAACGUGCCUUUAGGUUCGGAAUAACUCAGGGAAACUUGUGCUAAUACCGCAUGUGCCCUUCGGGGGAAAGAUUUAUCGCCUUUAGAGCGGCCCGCGUCUGAUUAGCUAGUUGGUAGGUAAUGGGUCACCAAGGCUACGAUCAGUAGCUGGUCUGAGAGGAUGACCAGCCACAUUGGGACUGAGACACGGCCCAAACUCCUACGGGAGGCAGCAGUGGGGAAUCUUGCGCAAUGGGCGAAAGCCUGACGCAGCCAUGCCGCGUGGAUGAUGAAGGUCUUAGGAUUGUAAAAUCCUUUCACCGGUGAAGAUAAUGACUGUAGCCGGAGAAGAAGCCCCGGCUAACUUCGUGCCAGCCGCCGCCGUAACAC
rnacentral:rRNA from 1 species